rnacentral:rRNA from 1 species
UACGUAGGGGGCAAGCGUUGUCCGGAUUUAUUGGGCGUAAAGAGCGUGUAGGCGGCCAGGUAGGUCAGCUGUGAAAACUCGAGGCUCAACCUCGAGCUGUCGGCUGAAACCAUCUGGCUAGAGUCCGGAAGAGGAGAAUGGAAUUCCCGGUGUAGCGGUGAAAUGCGCAGAUAUCGGGAAGAACACCCGUGGCGAAGGCGGUUCUCUGGGCAUUACCUGACGCUGAGGAGCGAAAGUGUGGGGAGCGAACAGG